rnacentral:hammerhead_ribozyme from 1 species
AUCCAGCUAGUGAAGAGUCCCAAAUAGGAUGAAACGCCCUUUGUCCUGGAU